UACGUAGGGUGCGAGCGUUAAUCGGAAUUACUGGGCGUAAAGCGUGCGCAGGCGGUUUUGUAAGCCAGAUGUGAAAUCCCCGGGCUUAACCUGGGAAUGGCAUUUGGGACUGCAAGGCUUGAGUGCGGCAGAGGAGACUGGAAUUCCUGGUGGAGCGGUGAAAUGCGCAGAUAUCAGGAGGAACACCCGUAGCGAAGGCGGCACUCUGGGCCGAUACUGACACUGAGGAGCGAAAGCGUGGGGAGCGAACAGG
rnacentral:rRNA from 1 species